rnacentral:rRNA from 1 species
GACGAACGCUGGCGGCGUGCUUAACACAUGCAAGUCGAACGGAAAGGCCCUGCUUUUGUGGGGUGCUCGAGUGGCGAACGGGUGAGUAACACGUGAGUAACCUGCCCUUGACUUUGGGAUAACUUCAGGAAACUGGGGCUAAUACCGGAUAGGAGCUCCUGCUGCAUGGUGGGGGUUGGAAAGUUUCGGCGGUUGGGGAUGGACUCGCGGCUUAUCAGCUUGUUGGUGGGGUAGUGGCUUACCAAGGCUUUGACGGGUAGCCGGCCUGAGAGGGUGACCGGCCACAUUGGGACUGAGAUACGGCCCAGACUCCUACGGGAGGCAGCAGUGGGGAAUAUUGCACAAUGGGCGGAAGCCUGAUGCAGUAACGCCGCGUGCGGGAUGACGGCCUUCGGGUUGUAAACCGCUUUCGCCUGUGACGAAGCGUGAGGGACGGUAAUGGGUAAAGAAGCACCGGCUAACUACGU